UAUUUUUCUAAUUUAUCAACCAUUAGUAAAUAAUUUAUUACAAUAUUUGCAUAAGAUUAAUCAUCAAUCAUAUUAUAAUUAAAUCCUUCAACAAUUCAAAAUCGUCGAUCAGUCAUUUGAUCAAAUAGGUACUUCUAUAUGUGUGACCCCAUAAGUUUGAAUCUAAGUCGGUAGCACAAGAAUAAUUUCUAUACCAAUCGAUGUAACCAUCUAGCAAUA
rnacentral:lncRNA from 1 species